rnacentral:rRNA from 1 species
AUUGAACGCUGGCGGCAGGCCUAACACAUGCAAGUCGAACGAGUGGCGGACGGGUGAGUAAUGUCUGGGAAACUGCCUGAUGGAGGGGGCUAACUACUGGAAACGGUAGCUAAUACCGCAUACCCUCGGAUGUGCCCAGAUGGGAUUAGCUAGUAGGUGGGGUAAAGGCUCACCUAGGCGACGAUCCCUAGCGGGUCUGAGAGGAUGACCAGCCAACCUGGAACUUAGCCAGGGUCCAGACUCCUACGGGGGGAAGCAGUGGGGAAUAUUGCAAAAUGGGCGAAAGCCUGAUGCAGCCAUGCCGCGGGUAUGAAGAAGGCCUUCGGGUUGUAAAGUACGUUCAGCGGGGAGGCGUUACCCGCAGAAGAAGCACCGGCUAACUCCGUGCCAGCCGCCGCGGUAAUUC